rnacentral:lncRNA from 1 species
CGGGUGCCAGGAAGAAAAGGGGUUGAUGGCGAGGUCCAUGGCGAAGUCCUCGACGAUCUUCUCGACGGAAUCCAGGGCGGGGCGGCGGGGGAUCUCACCGCCCGCGGGGGCGGAGGAGGAGGGCGACGACGGCCGGGCGGAUCUGGGGGCGGGCGGUGGUGACGGUGGUGGUGGUGGUGGUGGUGGGAAUUGCGAAGAGGCCCCUGCUUUGUGUUUCGGUUUUGUUUAGUUGAGUCCAUGGGGAGUAGUGGGGUCA